GUAAUGGUGCACUUGCUUCAACACUGCAACAGAAUGGAACUCCAGAUGCUCACAGAUGGAUUUAGAAGUGUGACUUAUCAGCACCCUACUCCAUUUUUAUCAACAAAUGCCAUCCACUCAGCAGUCCAGGAUGGGACAUUCUGAUGAAUCACGUCCCAGAGAGCACCACUCGCCCCGUUCUCAGCACACGGGGCCCCUGCCUAUCCUCGCU
rnacentral:lncRNA from 1 species